AUACGUAGGGGGCUAGCGUUAUCCGAAUUCACUGGGCGUAAAGCGCGUGCAGGCGGCCGCACAAGUUGGAUGUGAAAUCUCCCGGCUCAACUGGGAGGGGACGUUCAAAACUGUGCGGCUCGAGGGCGGUAGAGGAAGGUAGAAUUCCCGGUGUAGUGGUGAAAUGCGUAGAUAUCGGGAGGAAUACCCGUGGCGAAGGCGACCUUCUGGACCGUUUCUGACGCUCAGAUGCGAAAGCUAGGGGAGCGAACGGGAUUAGAAACCCCGGUAGUCCUAGCCGUAAACGAUGUCGACUGGGCGUGGGUGGGGUAAAAGCCAUCCGUGCCGAAGCUAACGCGUGAAGUCGACCGCCUGGGGACUACGGCCGCAAGGUUAAA
rnacentral:rRNA from 1 species